AGCUGCCUAAAGGUUCUGCUCAGCUGCCUAACGGUUCUGCUCAGCUGCCUAAUGGUUUUGCGCAGCGAUUUUCUCCCAGGAGAGGCUGGAGUGUCCAAAAGCUUGGCCCGACUGAGAUUUCUACUGGUGUCAGGGCGGGUGCGGGGACUGAAGAAGGGCGAGGGCGAGCGGCGGGGACUGGGGAAGGGCGAGCAGCGGGAGGUGCGGGCUCUGUCUAGCAGGUGGCUGCAGCCAUGGAGAGGCUCUCUGCCGCCGCUGUCAAGGGCCAGACGGGCCCGGAGCGCCGGAGCCCCUUCAGUCAGCUGGUCUACACCAACAAUGGCUCUUACGUGAUUCACCAUGGGGAUCUCAGGAAGAUCCACAAAGCUGCCUCCCGUGGCCAAGCCUGGAAGCUGGAGAGGAUGAUGAAGAAGACGACAAUGGACCUGAACAUAAGAGAUGCGAAGAAGAGGACUGCUCUACACUGGGCCUGUGCCAAUGGCCACGCAGAAGUAGUAACACUACUGGUAGAUAGAAAACGCCAGGUUGACGUCCUUGAUGGUGAAAACAGGACACCUCUGAUGAAGGCUCUGCAAUGCCAGAGGGAGGCUUGUGCAAAUAUUCUCAUAGAUUCUGGUGCUGAUCCAAAUAUUGUAGAUGUGUAUGGCAACACAGCUGUCCAUUAUGCUGUUUAUAGUGAGAACUUGUCAGUGGUGGCAAAAUUGCUGUCCUAAGGUGCAGACAUCGAAGUGAUGAACAAGCACAGCCCUCAUGCUUGCCAUAUGCCAUGGAUCAUCAGAGAUAGUUGGCAUGGUUCUUCAGCAAAAUGUUGACAUCUGUGCUGAAGAUACGUGUGGAAUGAUUGCAACGUUAUGCUGUUGCUUGUGGGUUUAAUCUAAGGAACAUCUGAAGGAACACCUGACGAGGCUGCACCCUUGGCGUAAAGAACACCUGACAUGGCUGAAAGCUUGGUGGAAAGAACACCUGAGGAAUAGGAUACAGCGAAUUCCUUUUCAAAGAUUUUAGCCUGUAAAAAUCCUUUAAAAUUCAAGAGGGGGAAGAUUAAGUACAAUGAGUUCUGAGUUCCUCAUCAAAGAGUAAAUAUGUCAGUAUGUUCAGCUUCUCUGUUCUUUGUUCUCCGUUUUAAAGUUUAACUUCCUCAUUAUUUAUGCCUCCUUGCCCCUAGUUUCAUUAAACAACCCCCUUCUAGCCUCUAACACCUGUUUUGUCUUUAGUCAUUCUUAGUCACCUGCUCUGUCCUCAGUCAUCCUUAGACACCUGCUCUGUAACUGUCUUUCCCGCUGAAAGUACACACCCUGCCACUCCAGCUCAUACUCCUGCUCUCUUUGAAAUAGCCCAUCUGAAUUAGCUAAGAGUGUGCAGUCCAACCCUAUCCAAUAGGGAAAAGACACAACAGUAGGGACUAGCUGCAUUAGGAAUAAGAACACUUUCCCCUCCCUUGUUCAGUAUGAUCUUGCCAUUGCUCCAUCUGCAAGACCACUCUUUCAUAGAAGUAAAUUUGCCUUGCUGUAAAAACUUGUUGCUGGAGUGCUGACUGUUCUUUGUUUCACUGAAAAUUUAUUUUCCACAAAUGUGGGGGCCCACCCAGCAUUCCCAUUCUCCUCUGGGGGAGGGUCCAGUCCUCUCCUGUGAGGAGGCGCACCCCGCUGCCUCGUUGCAGUGGCCAUAAAGGUAAGGAAUCAAGACUCAGCUGGUGCGAUUGAUAAACCUGGGCUCUCAGCAACGUGGAAAGAAACAGGCCAGCAUCUUUGGGGAAAGGAUCUUCACAUACCGUGGCGACCAGGUAACUGUGCACAGACCGAGUGUGCCCUUGCCAUUGCUCCAUCUGCAAGACUCACCCUUCUAUAGAAGUAAAUUUGCCUUGCUGGAGUGUUAACUUGUUGUUGGAGUGCUAACUCUUCUUUGUGGCACCAAAAAGUUAUUUCCAACACGAAGCUGCACCCUUGGUGGAGGGAACAUCUGACGAAGUUCAAUGUUUGGGGAAAACAAUAUCUGGAAAGAUUGAAGAGUCAGCAGGAGAAACACCUAGGAAAAUUACAAGGCCUGUGAAAGAAACAUCUGAGAAAUUUGCAUGGCCACAAGAAAGACCUACAAAGACCACAUGGGAGGAAAAAGAAACAUCUGUAAAGACUGAAUGCGUGGCAGGAGUAACAUCUAAUAAAACUGAAGUUUUGGAAGAAGGAACAUCUAAGAUGAUCACAUGUCCUACAAAAAAACAGCUACAAAAGCAAGUACACAUGUUCCUCAGUGUGGCUGGCCUAGAUAUUGACCCUACACAGUUGCCUCCUCCUGGUGACUACCAGCUAUGGAACCGUUGGAUACAACCUACCUGACUCACCCCACAGACCUCACAGCACACAUGGACAGACCCCACACGCCAGAGUGACCUGCUCGGUUGCAGCGGGAGUCAAGAAAUGUGCCUGCUGGCACUCACCCCACAGACUAGUGCCCCGUGGAAAACUUAUUUGGGUAAUGUUCUGGGCCGAAUAAAGGCUGGAGUCCCACAGACCCCUUUUCUCUCUCCUGCUCCCCACUCAUCUUCCCCAUUUUGUUCAGCCCUAUGAGGUGUGCUACUGUAUUAGUCCGUUUUCACACUGCUGGUAAAGACAUGCCCAAGACUGUGUAAUUUCCAGAAGACAGAGUUUUAAUAGACGCACAGUUCCACAUGGCUGGGUAGGCCUCACAAUCAUGGUGCAAGGUGAAAGGCAAGUCUCACAUGGCAGCAGACAAGACAAGAGAGCUUGUGCAGGGAAACUCCCCUUUAUAAAACCAUCAGAUCUUGUGAGACUUAUUCACUAUCAGAAGAACAGCAUGGGAAAGACCUGCCCCCAUGAUUCAAUUACCUCCCACCUGUUCCCUCCCACAACAUGUGGGAAUUCAAGAUGAGAUUUGGCUGGGGACACAGCUAAACCCUCUUCUCAGCUACCCUCUUCUCUCUGGAUCUGUGAGUAAUAAACCUACUUCUGUGAUUUCCCAUGUUUGGUUCUGUGGCCUCCAUGGGUCUGAGCUGACCUACACUGGAACCUAACUCUCCUCCUGGCCAGGGUCUCUGAGAGUGGCUCUUGUCAGAAAUACACAGGACACAGGUCAGGCAACAGUCACCAGGCAUCUCCUAGUCUCAACAGAUGUUCUGUGAGAGGGAGGCCUGGUCGUGGGAUGCACAUCUGGCCACUGCUGGUGUAAGGAAGUGUCCUGUGAAAGGCACAUGUUAAGCAUCCACAACCCCCUGACCAGAACCCCAGAAAGGCAGGGCUCCAAUUGACAGUCACUCUCCAGAGACAAACCUCAAGCCCUAACUGGAGGAAAAGAAAACAAUGUAAAAAGUUGAAUUUAUCUUACUAUUUCAAUGAUCCAGUAAAGACAUUCUAUGCCUGUACACCACAUAUUUUCUUCGAUUGUGGAUUUAUUUUAGAUAGAAUUUUAUGUCUGGCUUUCACUUUAGCCUGGUCCCUACCUCAAGCAUAAGGUAAAGAUUUUCCAUGGGUUCUUCUCUGGUACUACUAUCUGCCAGUGUGGGGUCAUGUCCUAGUCUAUCUUGAGGGAAUCCCCCUGUUCAUUAUUGUCAGAGUGAGACUGUUAAGUCUUGAUUUCCCUGGACAACUUCACUGCAUAACUUUUAAUAUGAUUUUUUAAUAUUCCCUUUACUGGACAAUAAAUUAUAUAGUUAUCUGAGUAAGAGAUAUGGUCAGGAAGAGGCAUUGCCUCAUUCAGCUUUUCUCUUUGGUGAACUCGCAUAUGUUCUCCUCACCCGCCAGUCACCUCUAAACCGUAUUGUUCCAAGACAACAAAGAGAACUCGAGUGUGUAUCUUUCACCACUGGAUUUGUGUUUGCUCCAUAAAGCUUCAUGCUUAAUAGGGUUUCUGUUAGCAUUUUCUCUGUUUAUUUUCCCAUAAAAUAUCACAGGCCUUUUUCAUAUGGAAUUAUGGGUGAUUUCCUUCAAUUUGCAUCAUAUCAAGUUGAGGUUCAUGUUGAUGAAAAGUAAAACAUACAUUGAAAAUAUCAGUAAUGAUGUUUUCCCCUCCUUUUUAGCACACGUGCUUGUGAUACAAGCACAUUUUAAUACAACUGUAGUCUCAUGCUUUGAUCAUUCCUAUGAUGAAAAUAACAUUUUUAGAUAAAAUAUCUGAGUUUUAUGAGGCCUUUAGUAUGUGAUGUGAUAGAAUAUCAGAAGACCAUACUUUUUUCUAGUUUUCUGUGCAAUUCUAUCAUUGUUUCAUCUUUACUCCUACCAGAGUAAUUUUCCAAAAUAGAUAUCUUGUCAUUCUUCCUCUUGUUAUCAGUAAAUAAGUGAAAUGAAAAGCUAGAUUAUAUAAUUUAUCUAGAACAAGAAAGUAGAAUUGAAUCUAUAUUCAUUAAUGAGACUAACCAGUCAAUUACACAGAUAAGCAUUUUACAUGUUGAAGAUCAUAUGGAACCAUUGUCAGAAAUAUUAUUAUUUAUGUCUAUAUGGACAUCACCUGUACAUAUUUACAUAGAAAUCAAUGAGAGCUGAUUUUUAUUUUUAUUAUAUAUAUUUUUUGAGAUAGGGUCUUGGUUUUUUGCCCAGGCUGGAGUGCAGUGGUGCAAUCACUGCUCACUGCAGCCUCAACCUCCCAAGCUCAAGCAAUCCUUCCACCUUGGCCUCCCAAAUAGCUAGGACAACAGGUGCACACCACCAUGCCCACUUUUUAUUUUUUUAACUUUUGAUAGAGACUGGGUCUUGCUAUGUUGCCCAGGUUGCUUUUGAACUCCUGGGCUCAAGGAAUCCUCUCAUUUCAGCCUCUUCAACUGCUGGUAUUACAAGCAUGAACCACCAUAUGGGCCGGAAGCUGAUUUUUAAAAUACUGAGAUCAUAUACAUGACAACACCUGAAAAAUAGACAACACCAAGCUUUAUGUUAAAAGGUGUGAGGGUAUCAAUAUUGUUGUGGCUAUUGGGGAGGAAAACAUUAGUAAAACCAGUGAGUUAAAGCUGUUGCUUUAAACUUUGGCUUUAAUUUAACAAAUGUUCUAUGGAGUGACAGUAUGUAUGUAACCAUGCUAUGCCCAUUCACAGAUGCAGUAGAGGGAAGAAUUUCUCAAAGACAACUGUUCUAAGACUCAAAUUAAACUGUACUGGGUUUGAAAAGAGAAAUUCCAGGAAUUACCAAAUAUUUUAGAUAUCAGAUAAAAGAGAAUGCCAGAUAUGCGAUGAUAAUCAGCAAUGGUUGUUCACACAAUACAUCAAAUCAGUAUUUGAAUUAGCUUUUGAAUUACAAGGACAAAUGGACCAAGUCUAGACUCCUUAGUAGAUAAAUCUUAUUAGGCUGAGAUGUGUUUUCCCCUGUUUUUCCACAAGGAGAUUACAAAUUUGCAAACCUCAGCUGCUCUCAUUUUAUGCUCUCACCAAGCUAAAGCUGAAGUUCAUCAAUCAGUGUGUCUAAGUGUUCACUGGUUAUAUACCAUUUUGUAGUUUCAGCUAUCUUUCCAACUUCCUAAAUCGUCACCUUCAUUUGAUCUUGUUUUUUUCCACUAUCACUUCUUUAUUGACCAUAUAAAGAAUAUAAGUGAGUUCUUAUUUUGUUAUUGUUCAUUUUAGUCUAAUUUCAUCAAAAUAUCACAAUCUUUUAAUUUCAUUUUAAUUUCAAAGAUUAAAUGAAACCUACAUAGAAAUGUGUGUAAGAUUUGCAUUUGCAUUAUUUUGGCAUCAAUUUGCUAUCCUCCCUCAUGCACACAGAAAUCAUUUCCACGUAUGUGAUUUCAAACAUCCAAGUGCAGUAUUAAAAGCAGUUGUAAAUUAUGGUUCUCAUUUUCAUGAUACAAUUAUAAUAUAAACUUCCUCUUGCUGCUGUAACCAAUUACCACAAACUUCAUAUCUUACAAUAAAGUGACCGUUAAUCCUA